rnacentral:rRNA from 1 species
GAUGAACGCUGGCGGCGUGCCUAAUACAUGCAAGUCGAGCGAAUGGAUUAAGAGCUUGCUCUUAUGAAGUUAGCGGCGGACGGGUGAGUAACACGUGGGUAACCUGCCCAUAAGACUGGGAUAACUCCGGGAAACCGGGGCUAAUACCGGAUAACAUUUUGAACCGCAUGGUUCGAAAUUGAAAGGCGGCUUCGGCUGUCACUUAUGGAUGGACACGCGUCGCAUUAGCUAGUUGGUGAGGUAACGGCUCACCAAGGCAACGAUGCGUAGCCGACCUGGGAGGGUGAUCGGCCACACUGGGACUGAAACACGGCCCAGACUCCUACGGGAGGCAGCAGUAGGGAAUCUUCCGCAAUGGACGAAAGUCUGACGGAGCAACGCCGCGUGAGUGAUGGAGGCUUUCGGGUCGUAAAACUCUGUUGUUAGGGAAGAACAAGUGCUAGUUGAAUAAGCUGGCACCUUGACGGUACCUAACCAGAAAGCCACGGCUAACUACGUGCCAGCCGCCGCGGUAA